rnacentral:rRNA from 1 species
GAUGAACGCUAGCGAUAGGCUUAACACAUGCAAGUCGAGGGGCAGCAUGGUCUUAGCUUGCUAAGACUGAUGGCGACCGGCGCACGGGUGCGUAACGCGUAUGCAGCUUGCCUCACAGAGGGGGAUAACCCGUCGAAAGACGGACUAAUACCGCGUACACUCCAUCUUGGGCAUCCAAGGUAGAGGAAAUGAAAUUCGCUGUGAGAUAGGCAUGCGUCCCAUUAGCUAGUUGGUGAGGUAACGGCUCACCAAGGCGACGAUGGGUAGGGGAACUGAGAGGUUGAACCCCCACACUGGUACUGAGACACGGACCAGACUCCUACGGGAGGCAGCAGUGAGGAAUAUUGGUCAAUGGGCGAGAGCCUGAACCAGCCAAGUCGCGUGAAGGAUGACUGUCUUAUGGAUUGUAAACUUCUUUUAUACGGGAAUAACAAGAGUCACGUGUGACUCCCUGCAUGUACCGUAUGAAUAAGCAUCGGCUAACUCCGUG